UAUUCCAAAGAUUCGUCUCUCAAAAAUCAAAAUCACCGAACGCAAAGGUCUGAUCCAUCUCUACCGGAACUCUUCGCACAGCUCCCUCCCUAACCACUCUCUUCAUCGUCGCUGUUCCCAAUUACUUUUCCCGCAUCGCCUAGUGUCUCCGAGGUCCUCUUCAUCAGGAACGAUGGAAUAGGAAGCUCGAUAUAGUCUUUCUUGUCACGCUUAGUGAAGCAGAUGGAUUCCACAAGAACCUGUUUCUUGGGUUUUUAGGCUGAGAGGUUUGCCAUAUUCUUUAUGCAAUGUCGGUGGGAACACACGGAAAUUGAUGAGGUUGCUGCAGAAGCACCUGUUUUGGAUUCACAGAGUUAUCUACUUUCCCAAUAUGUGUGUCUUGGUGAGUUGUGCUAAAGAAGAUCGAUCGAUUUCUAUGUUUAUUUUACUGAGAGAUUAGAUCCCGACACCAGUGGUAUAGUCAGCACUCUUUGUGAUCACUCGUUUUUCAGUGUUCUAAAUGGACUUCUCUGUCCUGUCACGUCAGUGGUUCUCUCUUUCAGUGCGUUUUCAGUUUAUAUGGUUUGUCGAUUGAGAUAUUCAAGCUGUUCUAUUUGUGGGAAAAAACACAGAACCUUUGGGCAUGCCUUGUCUGUGGCUUCUUAGGUUGUGGAAGAUACAAGGAAGGAUGGGCAUUCUAUCAGGCACUGGAAAGAAACGCAUCACUGCUAUUCUCUUGAUUGAUUCUGUUGGUGACAGCUACGUUCAUCCGUUAAACCAUUCAAUAAUUUAUAAACAGUCAGUAGAGAUGAACACCCCGUUGUCUCUCACAUGAAGGUGGUGGUGGGGAGUGUGGUCUCUGUGAGAUUGUAGUGAGGAUACAGGAUUUACCGGAGCCAUCUUCAACACCAAAGUUGAUUCAUAGUUUUAUGGCGUCGAUCGUUAGCGGGUAUCAACUGAAGGGACAGCGACAGGCAAG